GAUGAACGCUGGCGGCGUGCCUAAUACAUGCAAGUCGAGCGAACGGACGAGAAGCUUGCUUCUCUGAUGUUAGCGGCGGACGGGUGAGUAAUACGUGGAUAACCUACCUAUAAGACUGGGAUAACUUCGGGAAACCGGAGCUAAUACCGGAUGAUAUUUUGAACCGCAUGGUUCAAAAGUGAAAGACGGUCUUGCUGUCACUUAUAGAUGGAUCCGCGCUGCAUUAGCUAGUUGGUAAGGUAACGGCUUACCAAGGCAACGAUGCAUAGCCGACCUGAGAGGGUGAUCGGCCACACUGGAACUGAGACACGGUCCAGACCCCUACGGGAGGCAGCAGUAGGGAAUCUUCCACAAUGGGCGAAAGCCUGACGGAGCAACGCCGCGUGAGUGAUGAAGGUCUUCGGAUCGUAAAACUCUGUUAUUAGGGAAGAACAUAUGUGUAAGUAACUGUGCACAUCUUGACGGUACCUAAUCAGAAAGCCACGGCUAACUACGUG
rnacentral:rRNA from 1 species